rnacentral:rRNA from 1 species
GAGUUUGAUCUUGGCUCAGGAUGAACGCUGGCGGCGUGCCUAAUACAUGCAAGUCGAGCGAACGGACGAGAAGCUUGCUUCUCUGAUGUUAGCGGCGGACGGGUGAGUAACACGUGGAUAACCUACCUAUAAGACUGGGAUAACUUCGGGAAACCGGAGCUAAUACCGGAUAAUAUUUUGAACCGCAUGGUUCAAAAGUGAAAGACGGUCUUGCUGUCACUUAUAGAUGGAUCCGCGCUGCAUUAGCUAGUUGGUAAGGUAACGGCUUACCAAGGCAACGAUGCAUAGCCGACCUGAGAGGGUGAUCGGCCACACUGGAACUGAGACACGGGUCCAGACUCCUACGGGAGGCAGCAGUAGGGAAUCUUCCGCAAUGGGCGAAAGCCUGACGGAGCAACGCCGCGUGAGUGAUGAAGGUCUUUCGGAUCGUAAAACUCUGUUAUUAGGGAAGAACAUAUGUGU